rnacentral:sRNA from 1 species
AAAAAAAGAGUAGGAAUAAGAGAUAAGGGGGAGUGGAGACGUGGGGAACGUUACAAACAGUGUGACGUCUCCUGCCGCUUCCUCGCUCCAUCUCGCUCGCUCUCACUCACUCUCACUCUCGCCAGCGCUACACCGCUGAUCCCCAACGUCUUCUAUCUUCCGUCUCACUUUCGCGAUCCACGCGCUCAUUUGUUAAUCACCCAAAAAAAAAAAAUAACUAAAAGAAAAGAAAGAAAAAUAGGGGACAAAAUCUGGUGGUGCUGUGCCGAUAUGAUUUUUCGGUUUAUUUAUUUUGUUUCGCUUCUCUUUGUUGCCUUGUGGUCAUGCGUUUGGGAUUUAAUUCGGUUUUGGGUCUCUGAUUGGCGUUCUUUUCCGGCCCCCGCAUUCCUAUGGCUCCCCUUCGCCCACCCAACCCAAAAUGACUCAUCACUAGCACUGGAAGUGGAUCACAGGCUGCACAUAUCGAUAGUUAUUAUCGGAAGUAAAAUGUUUGCGCUAAGCAAUGUAAAGAGAUAAACCUAAUAACCGUUAUAAUAGAUCAUAAAGUUAUCGAAAAUAUCGAUAGUAGUGAGGGGAUUAGCAAGUCUUCCAAUGGAAGUCACACUGUGCUUGGUGACGGUUUGGUCGAAACGUGUUUUGCUAAUUAGCGGCCGCCGAAUAGGGUUGCCAACUGUUGCUAUUAGCAUUUUCCUUCCAAUAAUUGUCAACGGCAUGUUGGAUGAGGAGAAGAAGAAGACGAACGAAGUGAAGCGAAAGGGGAAUGGCGGAGAGAAGAAAGCAAAAGCCGGCCCGUCAUAACGGCACACGAUGCAACUUUCUGACAAUGCAAGUAGUGUGUGUACUUUGUGUACGUGUGUAGGUGAGUGAGCUGGAAGAUAAAGAAGACGAGGAGGGACGAGGAGACUCGUGCAAAAA